UUAAAAAGCUCGUAGUUGGAUUUCUGUGUUGGUGAGGCGGCCGGCCACUCGUGGUUGUAGCUAGUUAUCACCGGCGCAUCUUGUCACAAGCCACGCUGGCCUUAACUGGUUGGCGCUGGGGACUGACUCGUUUACUUUGAGAAAAUUAGAGUGUUCAAAGCAGGCUAUCGCCUUGAAUAUGUUAGCAUGGAAUAAUGAUAUAGGACUUUGGUUCUAUUUUGUUGGUUGUUC
rnacentral:rRNA from 1 species